CAAGCCAUCGCAUCCCCUGUGACUUGCACGUAUAUGCCCAGAUGGCCUGAAGUAACUGAAGAAUCACAAAAGAAGUGAAUAUGCCCUGCCCCACCUUUACUGAUGACAUUCCACCACAAAAGAAGUGUAAAUGGCUGGUCCUUGCCUUAAGUGAUGACAUUACCUUGUGAAAGUCCUUUUCCUGGCUCAUCCUGGCUCAAAAAGCACCCCCACUGAGUACCUUGUGACCCCCACUCCUGCCCACCAGAGAACAAACCCCCUUUGACUGUAAUUUUCCAUUACCUUCCCAAAUCCUAUAAAACGGCCCCACCCUUAUCUCCCUUCGCUGACUCUCUUUUGGGACUCAGCCUGCCUGCACCCAGGUGAAAUAAACAGCCAUGUUGCUCACACAAAGCCUGUUUGGUGGUCUCUUCACACGGACGUGCAUGAAAUUUGGUGCUGUGACUCGGAUCGGGGGACCUCCCUUGGGAGAUCAAUCCCCUGUCCUCCUGUUCUUUGCUCCAUGAGAAAGAUCCACCUACGACCUCAGGUCCUCAGACCGACCAGCCCAAGGAACAUCUCACCAAUUUUAAAUCGGGUAAGCGGCCUCUUCUUACUCUCUUCUCCAGCCUCUCUCACUGUCCCUCAACCACUUUCUCCUUUCUACUCUUCAAUCUCUCCCUUCUCUUAAUUUCAAUUCCUUUCAUUUUCUGGGAGAGACAAAGGAGACACGUUUUAUCCGUGGACUCAAAACUCUGGCGCUGGUCACGGACUGGGAAGGCAGACUUCCCUAGGUGUUUAAUCAUUGCAGGGACACCUCUCUGAUCAUUCACCCAUGUUUCAAAGGUGUUAGACCACGCAGGGACGCCUGCCUUGGUCCUUCACCCUUAGCGGCAAGUCCCGCUUUUCUGGGAAAGGGGCAAGUACUCCAACCCCUUCUCUCCUUGCCUCUACCCCUUCUCUGCUUUUCUGGGGGAGGGGCAAGUACCCCUCAACCCCUUCUCCUUCACCCUUAGUGGCAAGUCCUGCUUUUCUAGAGGAGGGGCAAGUACCCCAACCUCAUAUCUCUGCGCCCCAAUCCCUUAUUUCCGUGCCCCAACCUCUUAUAUCUCUGCGCCCCAAUCCCUUAUUUCUGUGCCCUGAUCCCUUAUUUCUGUGCUGACCCCUUAUUGCUGCACCCCAUCCCUUAUUUCCAUGCCCCGACCUCUUAUCUCUGUGCUCCAACCCCUUUUCCCACUUUUCUGGAAGGUAAGAACCCCCGAACCCCUUCCCUCCAUUUCUCUACUCUCUCUUUUCUCUAGGCUUGCUUCCUUCACUAUAGGCAACCUUCCACCCUCCAUUCCUCCUUCUACUCCCUUGGCCUGUGUUCUCAAAAACUUAAAACCUCUUCAACUCACACCUGACCUAAAACCUAAAUGCCUUAUUUUCUUCUGCAAUGCCACUUGACCCCAGUACAAACUUGACAGUAGUUCCAAAUAGCCAGAAAAUGGCACUUUGAAUUUUUCCAUCCUGCAAAAUCCAAAUAAUUCUUGUCGUAAAAUAGGCAAACGGUCUGAGGUGCCUGACGUCCAGGCAUUCUUUUACACAUCAGUCCCUUCCUAGUCUCUGUGCCCAGUGCAACUCGUCCCAAACCUUCCUUCUUUCCCUCCCGCCUGUCCCCUCAGUACCAACCCCAAGCAUCGCUGAGUCUUUCUAAUCUUCCUUUUCUACAGACCCAUCUGACCUCUCCCUUCCUCCCCAGCCUGCUCCUCACCAGGCUGAGCUAGGUCCCAAUUCUUCCUCAGCCUCUGCUCCUCCACCCUAUAAUCUUUUUAUCACCUCCCCUCCUCACACCUGGUCUGGCUGACAGUUUCGUUCCGUGACUAGCCCUCCCCCACCUACCCAGCAAUUCACUCUUAAAAAGGUGGCUGGAGCUAAAGGCAUAGUCAAGGUUAAUGCUCCUUUUUCUUUAUCCCAAAUCAGAUAGCGUUUAGGCUCUUUUUCAUCAAAUAUAAAAAUCCAGCCCAAUUCAUGACUUGUUUGGCAGCAACCCUGAGACACUUUACAGCCCUAGACCCUAAAAGGUCAAAAGGCCGUCUUAUUCUCAAAAUACAUUUUAUUACCCAAUCUGCUCCCGACAUUAAAUAAAACUCCAAAAAUUAAAUUCUGGCCCUCAAAUCCCACAACAGGAUUCAAUUAACCUCGCCUUCAAGGUGUACAGUAAUAGAAAAAAGUUGCAAUUCCUUGCCUCCACUGUGAGACAAACCCCAGCCACAUCUCCAGCACACAAGAACUUCCAAACGCCUGAACCGCAGCGGCCAGGCAUUCCUCCAGAACCUCCUCCCCCAGGAGCUUGCUACAAGUGCCAGAAAUCUGACCCCCAGGCCAAGGAAUGCCCGCAGCCCAGGAUUCCUCCUAAGCUGCGUCCCAUCUGUGUGGGACCCCACUGAAAAUCGGACUGUUCAACUCACCUGGCAGCCACUCCCAGAGCCCCUGGAACUCUGGCCCAAGGCUCUCUGACUGACUCCUUCCCAGAUCUUCUCGGCUUAGCAGCUGAAGACUGACACUGCCUGAUCGCCUCGGAAGCCCCCUAGACCACCACGGACGCUGAGCUUCGGGUAACUCUCACAGUGGAAGGUCUGGGGCAAGGAAAGUACCAGAUAAACCUGAAACAUUUUGAGGUGCCAGAAAGUAAGGAAGAUCUCAAAAAAAUGAUGGGAACAUAUCAAAGCCACCAUGCCACCUUCCACCAUGAUUUUGAGGCCUCCCUAGACAUGUGGACCUGUAAGUACAAUAAACCUCUUUCUUUUGUAACCUGCCCAGUCUCAAGUAUGUCU